rnacentral:rRNA from 1 species
GACGAACGCUGGCGGCGUGCUUAACACAUGCAAGUCGAACGGAAAGGCCCUGCUUUUGUGGGGUUCUCGAGUGGCGAACGGGUGAGUAACACGUGAGUAACCUGCCCUUUACUUUGGGAUAACUUCAGGAAACUGGGGCUAAUACCGGAUAGGAGCUCCUGCUGCAUGGUGGGGGUUGGAAAGUUUCGGCGGUUGGGGAUGGACUCGCGGCUUAUCAGCUUGUUGGUGGGGUAGUGGCUUACCAAGGCUUUGACGGGUAGCCGGCCUGAGAGGGUGACCGGACACAUUGGGAAUGAGAUACGGCCCAGAAUAAGACGGGAGGCAGCAGUGGGGAAUAUUGCACAGUGGGAGGAAGCCUGAUGCAGCAACGCCGCGUGCGGGAUGACGGCCUUCGGGUUGUAAACCGAUUUCGCCUGUGACGAAGCGUGAGUGACGGUAAUGGGUAAAGAAGCACCGGCUAACUACGUG